rnacentral:rRNA from 6 species
UUUGGUGCCUCAACGCAGGGGUCACACCGGUUCUCAUUCCGAACACCGAAGUUAAGCCCUGUAGUGCCGAUGAUACUACUCUGUGGGAAAGUAGGUAGGCGCCAGAA